UACGUAGGGUGCGAGCGUUAAUCGGAAUUACUGGGCGUAAAGCGUGCGCAGGCUGUUUUGUAAGUCAGAUGUGAAAUCCCCGAGCUCAACUUGGGAACUGCGUUUGAAACUACAAGACUAGAAUAUGUCAGAGGGGGGUAGAAUUCCACGUGUAGCAGUGAAAUGCGUAGAGAUGUGGAGGAACACCAGUGGCGAAGGCGGCCACCUGGACAGUAACUGACGCUGAGGCGCGAAAGCGUGGGUAGCAAACAGG
rnacentral:rRNA from 1 species